AGGAGGAGGAGGAGGAAGAGGCUGCGAGCGCCCGCGGGGAGCGAACAAGGAGCCGGGGCUCCCCCCGACCCUCCCAGCCGACGACCCCUACGAAGACGCCGAACCCCCCGGGCACGGCGGUGGCGACAGCGCCAGCAGCCACUACGAGUCGUACGGAGAGGAG